rnacentral:lncRNA from 1 species
CUCCGUCUAAAUUUAAGUUUUAAGAAUUAUAGGUUAAAGAACGGACCUCAACACCGAGCCUUGGACUACUAUGAACAGCAAACUGUAAGGAGCCUUAAAAUUGAUUGGCUUAACGUCCAGUGGUAUAUAUUUCAUGCAUGUUGAGGACGAGGACAUUUAACAAUAAAUUCAAUAUGUAGGUCUUGUCAUAAUAGAGGCCAUUCGGGAUGAUGGUCGGGGAAAUUUGGACUGCGACCAAGGGUAUUUAGGAUAGGGACAGACAUUUUGCCUUGCAACAGGCCAUCUACGGACUCCUUAAAGAGUUAUUGCAAGGGUUCUUAACGAGC